CCCUAUGAAUUUUUUCAAAGACCUUUCUUGUUUGGAUCUUUGAAAAAAUUCAAGAAAGGUUUUUGAUUAAUUGGGGUGAUUUUUAAAUUUUAAAAAACUUUAGAAGUGUAUUACUAGAUCCAAUAUUAUUGAUGAUUUAAAAAAAAUACUCUAGGGAUAACAGCGUUAUUACUUUGGAUAGUUCAUAUAGAUAAAGUAGAUUGCGACCUCGAUGUUGGAUUAGGAUACCUUUAUUAAUGAAGAAGUUAUAAAAGGAGGUUUGCUCAACCUUCAAAUUCCUACAUGAUCUGAGUUCAGACCG
rnacentral:rRNA from 1 species